UACCCAAUCAACUUCAUCACC
rnacentral:snRNA from 1 species